rnacentral:rRNA from 1 species
AUUGAACGCUGGCGGCAUGCCUUACACAUGCAAGUCGAACGGCAGCAUGAUCUAGCUUGCUAGAUUGAUGGCGAGUGGCGAACGGGUGAGUAAUACAUCGGAACGUGCCCUGUAGUGGGGGAUAACUAGUCGAAAGAUUAGCUAAUACCGCAUACGACCUGAGGGUGAAAGUGGGGGACCGCAAGGCCUCAUGCUAUAGGGGCGGCCGAUGUCUGAUUAGCUAGUUGGUGAGGUAAAGGCUCACCAAGGCGACGAUCAGUAGCUGGUCUGAGAGGACGAGCAGCCACACUGGGACUGAGACACGGACCAGACUCCUACGGGAGGCAGCAGUGGGGAAUUUUGGACAAUGGGGGCAACCCUGAUCCAGCAAUGCCGCGUGUGUGAAGAAGGCCUUCGGGUUGUAAAGCACUUUUGUCCGGAAAGAAAUCGCACUUACUAAUAUUAGGUGUGGAUGACGGUACCGGAAGAAUAAGGACCGGCUAACUACGUGCCAGCCGCCGCCGUAAUAC